GUAGGGAAUAUUGGGCAAUGGAUGCAAGUCUGACCCAGCCAUCCCGCGUGCCGGAAGAAGGCCCUCAGGGUUGUAAACGGCUUUUGACGGUGAAGAAUCGACAGGAUGCGUCCUGUUUUGACGGUAGCCGUUGAAUAAGCACCGGCUAACUCCGUGCCAGCAGCCGCGGUAAUACGGAGGGUGCGAGCGUUGUCCGGAUUUAUUGGGUUUAAAGGGUGCGUAGGCUGGAAGGUCAGUCAGCGGUGAAAAGCUGUCGCUUAACGAUAGUCUUGCCGCAGAUACUUCCUUUCUUGGAUGAGGAGGAGGCCACUGGAACGGAUGGUGUAGCGGUGAAAUGCAUAGAUAUCAUCCAGAACACCGAUUGCGAAGGCAGGUGGCUGUACCUUAAUCGACGCUGAUGCACGAAAGCAUGGGGAGCAAACAGGAUUAGAAACCCUUGUAGUCC
rnacentral:rRNA from 1 species